rnacentral:rRNA from 1 species
GUAGGGAAUAUUGGACAAUGGGCGAAAGCCUGAUCCAGCCAUGCCGCGUGCAGGAAGACGGUCCUAUGGAUUGUAAACUGCUUUUAUUUGGGAAUAAACUCCGGUACGUGUACCGGCCUGAAGGUACCAAAUGAAUAAGCACCGGCUAACUCCGUGCCAGCAGCCGCGGUAAUACGGAGGGUGCAAGCGUUAUCCGGAAUCAUUGGGUUUAAAGGGUCCGCAGGCGGUCUUAUAAGUCAGUGGUGAAAGCCUACAGCUCAACUGUAGAACUGCCAUUGAUACUGUAGGACUUGAAUUCGAUCGAAGUGGGCGGAAUGUGACAUGUAGCGGUGAAAUGCUUAGAUAUGUCACAGAACACCGAUAGCGAAGGCAGCUCACUAGGUCUGGAUUGACGCUCAGGGACGAAAGCGUGGGGAGCAAACAGGAUUAGAUACCCCAGUAGUCC